rnacentral:snRNA from 2 species
UCCUUGAAUCCCGUCCCAAUCUCUUUAUGUCGAUUAAAUCUUUCGUCUUUUUCUAAAGUUUUCAGUGGGGAGGAACAAUACAAAUAUCAAUAACUUUUUUGACAUCUUGCUUUGCUACGGGGCU